rnacentral:ncRNA from 15 species
GCCAUCUUGUCGGAGUGCCAACCGUCGAACGACGCGAGGCUGAGACCGUUAAUUCGGGAUCCGUGGAACCUGAUCAGGCUAGCACCUGCGAAGGGAAACAAGGGUAACUUGCGG